ACGUGGGUAUCGUCGUAUCCCUGGUCGUAUCGAAGAAGAACCGUACAUAUCGAGCAUAAUUUUUAUGAAACUUUGUCGAAAUAAAAUAGUUAUGCCAUGCAAAGGGAUAGGUUAGUAUUAAAUUUAGCUAUUUUUAACGUUUGUGCACUGUUUUUGUCAAGUUCUAGCCGUGUUUUGAAACACGUGCUGCAAAUUCAUUGAAUUUUAUACACUUCGCCAACUAUUCAAGCGCUUCGUUCUCGCUUUAAAAUAGUCGCUUUUCUCCUUCGUAUUUCUCCCAAAUUUUCUUGCAAUAAUGUUCCGAAAUACCCCCAGCUUUGAUUGAUAUAACUCAUAUUUGUUUUAUCUGCUGUUUCAGGACAACAAUUGGACAGGAAAGUUGACAAAGUUUUAAUAGUGAUAAGUCGCCGACCUAAAGCACGUGCACGUGGUAAGCGUCAAUUAUCACUUUUUUUUUAACAAAUUUUAUUUGGAUCGAUAUUCACAAUUUUUAACAAACAAAAGAAUAUAACAGAACAAAUAUUUAUUAAAUUAGAUAACCUAGAUAUCAAAUGUAGAUCCAAAAAGGUAAGGGACCGGUCAUAAAGUAAUUACUAGAGGGGAUGGAGGAUAAAUGAAAUUUCAAGUACAUAUUUCCAUACCCUCCCAAAAACCUAUGGAAAAAUUUUCGUAACCCCCUUCAAUGUAAGUGAAAAUUUUCAAACCCCCCGUUCUAUCAUUAAUUCUGUUAUAACAUUUGUCUUGCGUUUAUCUAUAUUUCGAAACUCUCCAGUUUGUGAUAACUCUCCCACUUCUUGUAGUGGUAACCAUAUUCUCAACAUUUUCCGCAGUCUCCGAUUCGUCACCAGUUUUUUCUGAUUUUGGCAUACUAGCGAUGGGCUGAGGGUAAGAUCAAACAGAAAAAUUUGUUUGGGGUUUAUUUCAAAUAGAAAACAUUUGCUUCCAUUCAAUGUGACACUUCCUCAUCAGGUUUAUCAAGUUCUAAUGCCGGUGUGAGCUUGCUAGCGUUGACAAUUCAGGUGUAUCAGAUUUGUACUCCAAAAGUUCAACGGAUACUGAAUCCUACUUAUCAUCUGACAUUGAGUUAGACUAAAACAUAUACCUUGUGAUGAUUUAAUAAUUAUAGAAAAAAUCUGGGCACAAAUACUUUCAAUAUUCAACAUUAGUAUAAUUACAUAGGUGAUUAUUGAAAAUUCUCCACGCUGAUUGGUUGCCGUUAAGGUGAUUAUUACGCGAUAAUCACCUAAGCGAUUUUCAAAAUGGCGGCCGAAGCCGUUUUGUCAAUUAAAUGACGAAGAAAUGUGUAUUUUUUAUUUUUUUCUAAAUAAUCACCUAUGAAAUUAUACUAAAACAAUUAUUCACCUCAGGCUCGGUGAUUAUCGUGAAUAAAAACCUCGACUUCGUCUCGGUUUUUAUUCACCGAUAAUCACCUCGCCUUCGGCGAAUAAUUGUUAAAUAAUAAUUAAAUCUGGGCACAAAUACAUUCAGGGGCGGAUCUAGGAUUUUUCGUACCUCAGUCACAAUUUUUUGGUGGACGGGGGGUUAUCGGCGCUGGGCGUGGACUCGACUGGGCGUGGUCGACUCCAGACGGGGGGAGUGGGCGCUAAAUAAUUUUUAUGUUGAUAGUCCGCCACUGGAUUUUUAGAAUUUUCCGUACAUAAAAUGCGAUUUGCCCCCCCCCCCACACACACCUAUUAACCCAAAUCCUAAUUAAUCAAAUUAUACAACAUAUUUAGAUUAACUUAAUAAACUCAAACGAACAUUUGAUCCCUAUCCACAGGCACUGCAAGAACUACAAAUGCACAAAGAUGUAUUGAUGAUAAUACUUUAAAACUCAGCAGCAAUUUAACAUAUUUGCCUGUGGAUUAAGAAUCGUCGUCAUAUUGGUACUAUAUGCUUAUAAGUGUAUCAUUGUAAAACGUCUAAAAUCAUAUGGCAGCAAAUGCGUUAAGGAAAUAUACUGUUCUGUUACCAAAAACACAGAACUAUACAUAAGAAGUAAUUGCCAGUAGCCUGAGUUCCAAAAAAACAACCACAUAUUCAUUAACUAAGUCAAAGAUGUUAAUUAAGUCAAAUAUUAAUAAACUAAACUCUUACUAUUAAUAAAGUCUUACUGUGGUCUAUAUAUUGAACACAAAAUAUACUAUUAAUAAACUAGUAACAUCAGAACGGCUACCAGUCAAAGAGCUUUUCAAGCUACCUACAAUUAAAUAUUUCACAUCAUCGUGUUACAUCAGACGUCGACCAAUGCGGUCUAACAAGCCAUGACUUGAUCUAACAAGACAUGACUUGGUCUAACAAGUCAUGUCUUGGUCCAAUGCGGUCUAACAAGACAUGACUUGGUCUAACAAGCCAUGACAUGUCGAUAGGCUAUGGAUAAACAAUACACGUAUACGCGUUACGCGUACAUGUUGUGUGAUUAAUGCAUAAAUAUAAAGAAAUUUUAAAUAAAACUUCACUAACAUGAGAAUCAACAAAUGCUCACAAUGUAGACAUUGAAUAUUAACAUAUUUUAGCUUCUUGACGCGAGAAUUAUGCUAAUACAGCAAUACAGCAUAGUGAAUAUAUUAAAAUAUCAUAUGUCAGACAAUCAUUAACAACACCGAUGGCUUGGUACUCCGAUUUAUAAACCUUUAAUAUGAACUAUAAAACCAUAAAUUUAUCUACCUUAUUGCAGUGCAAGCUUUGUCUUUCUCUAGCAGUAGCUCUCUGUGCCACAAUUUCUAGCGAGGCUUCUGCUUGUAUUGUUGAUGGCGCCGCUUAGUAGCUUGUCAACAAAAUUUGUCCGUGAGGCAUCGAUAUUCUUUUCAAGCUCCGUAUACAAACGUUGUAUAGAGAUUCCAAAUUGUUUGCCGCAAUCGCAAACUGAACAUUGUCGAAAAUGUUUCCAGAUAUCGCUGGUAGAAAUCGCACGUAAUAGUAAACGUUCGAAAUAGUAAACACUCAAAGGUAAACACAAAUGCGGUGUUGACGAAUACCUCACGUUGCGAAUCCGUCGAAAAUAUAAGCCAAUGACAGUGCAGAAUUUUUUUAAAUGGUUCAAUCAGAAGGCUCAUACAGAGCCCCUGAAUCUGCAAAUCCGUCAGGCCUCCCCACAGAUCCGUCGCAAAUGGUCGUAACCAUGGAAAUGAGCAUGUCAGCCAAUCAGAUAGCCGGAUUUGACCCCCGAAUCCGUCAACUUUCAUGCGUAAGACCGCUGUUCGUGACUGACUAACAUUACUUUGCCGAAGCUCUGCCGCAGCAUGAAACGCAUAACUGGACUACCGGUACGAUUCAAAAUUUUAGUAACUCGAUCUACUGGUCACUAUAGAUAGCUGGAGUCAAAUUUUUUUAAGUAGGCAAUUUUUACUUCAGUCGCGCGACUGAUUUGACGACCCCUAGAUCCGCCCCUGAAUACAUUCAAUAUUCAACAAUAGUUAUAAAAUGUAAUUUUUUUCCGUACCUAUAGUACUAAGAUUUUGGUACCCCCUAGAGGUUCUGUUGUUUUUUUCAUACCCCCCUCAGAGGUUCUCUUUUUCGUACCCCCAAAAAAUAUCCUCCACACCCCCUAGUAUAUACUUUAUGACCGGUCCCUAGGUACGAACGGGACUCUUAUAUAGAAGGUCCCGUGCAGCAGGGCUGCAAAAUUACCACUGAAAAAGGAAUUAAUUCCAAUUACAAUUAGUUGCUUUAAAAUAUAAUAAUUUCUGAUUACAAUUACUUGUUCUAAAAUGUAAUUAAGUACAAUGGAAAAAUUACAGCGGAAAAAAGGAAUGAAUUACAAAUUCCUUUACCGGCAAAUUGUUACUAUAUAUAUUAUACAGGGUGUCCAAAAAAACCGAAAACUAUUGAAAUGAAUAAUGCCUCAGCACUCUGCUUACCCUGGUUCCAGAGCUUUAAAAUAAACCUCUGGUUGAAAGUGGCAAUUGAUUCAUCGAGCCGUGCCAAUCAGUUUGAAUUAGGGUCAGACCCUGACUCUGUCUCCUGAUCAGAUGAUUUUAUUAAAGCUCUCUGAUUUGUUAUAGAUGUUUUAUUUGAAUCAAUCAGAGAGCUUUAAUGGGUCGUUCCAGAAAAGAUCCAUACCCACAGAGGAAAUUUUUGCUGUCUGAAGGGGGAGGGAGGAAAAAUGUCUUAGGAUGUCCGAAGGGGGGAGAGGAAUGUGGAUAUGUUUGUCUGAAAGUUUGAGACUGUGAUAAAGCUAUGUGAUCGGCGAUUAUAUAGCAAAGUAGAGGCUGUUUUCGCAGGCUAGCGAUUAUAAUGAGCACACAAAUUGUAUCUGCUAUAUGUAGCUCUUAAACACCGGAACGUUUAUGUAACAGCAAUAAUUAUACGUCCACGUAACUCGUAAGCAAAAUAAGCGGCCCACUUUUGCAUGCAUCACCACCAAAAACUAACUCGCUGUAACAGCGUAUCCUGCAAGUUCAGAAUGAGUCGAAAAUUGACACACUUUUGCAGUUUUCGUUCGUAACUGAUAAGUUUGAAUUAUUCAAGUGUUAAAAAUAAUAGUUAUUAAACUGUUGCUCGAAUACUGCUAUGUGAACUGAACCCCAAAUAAUUUGUUUUAGUAUAUAGUCAAUAAAGCUUCCUUGCGAGGUGCGUGUCUAGAAAAUAGAAAUGGCUGUCAUAUUAAGGGCGAGGUUAAGGAAUGCAGUAAUACUAAAAAUGCAUUAACAUGUAAGUAAACAUAGCAAUGCUUGUCAAUCAGUCGCAAGUUACAUCGAAUUUCAGUCCGAAUUUUACUUGAUCGAAUUUCGAAGUGAAUUUCUGCAAAUUAUCCGACAAAACCUAGCUGCCAUGUGUUUGUGUUUGCAAGAAGCCGCCAAGUGUUCCGCCACGCCGGAGCUAUUUGAAAACAGCGUAGAAAAGUCACAAUAAGCCAUCGCUUUACCACUACGCUGGAGCAAAAUCGUUUGAAAACUUUCACGUGUCAUUUUUGCCGUAACAAUUUGAGCACGGUUUCUAAACGGAGCGAGGUGAAAACGGAGCGCUUGAUAGCUUCGUGUGAACACAAACAUGUAAACUCGAAUGCUUUUCAGUUAAAUUUCUUGGCUCAAUUUCAAAUAUUUUGGGUUUACAUGAGUGCUAAUUUAAUUUGUAAACAAACUGUAAUGGCGUAGUCUGAACACACGUAAAUUCUGCCCGCAUUAGUUCGCUCGCGCGUAAGUGUGAACGUAGUCUAAUUUUUGGUGAUGUUUUCAAACGGCGAGGUUGCCUUUAGAAAAAUUUAGAAAUAGUGGAUGUCUGAAGGGGAGGGGGGUAAUUUUGGGCUUUGACGUCCGGAGAGGGGGGGAGGAUGAACCAUUCAAGGAUGUCCGAAGGGGGGAGGGGGUUAUUUUCGAUUUCCUCUGUAGGGGUACCCUGGAUUCCAGAGCCUUCGACAGUAAAUAAUAAAUUGAAAUGUCGCGAAGGCUCUGGUUCAACGGGGCGAUUAUUUGAUUAAACCGCGCCAAUCACAAAACAGAAUUAGUGGUUUUAGUACAGGAUUCUUUGAUUAAACCGUGACAAUCACAAAAUAGAAUUAGUGGUUUUAGUACAGAAUCUGUACUAAAACCACUAAUUCUGUUUUGUGAUUGGCGCGGUUUAAUCAAAGAAUCGCCCCGUUGAACCAGAGCCUUCGCGACAUAUCAAUUUAUUAUUUACUGUCGANNNNNNNNNNNNNNNNNNNNGGGUAUGGUUCUUUUCUGGAAUGACCCAAUACAAUCAUCCAAUCAGGAGACAGAGUCAGGAUCUGACCCUAAUUCAAACUGAUUGGCGCUGCUCGAUGAAUUAAUUGCCUGCUUUCAACCAGAGGUUUAUUUUUCCUCUCCCCUUCGCAAUGCAAAUAAUAAAAUUUAACCUCUGGAACCAGGGUACACUCUGCUGAACCCACAUGUGCAUAAAAGCUUGACGUAAGUAAAUUUUAUGCAUAAAGAAACCGUUUAAGAUGCUGUUUUAAAUUACCAAGAGCAGAAAAUUGUGCGCUUUACAAAGAUAUUUUAAUUUCUUAAUAAGUCAAUAUUUAAUAUAUGCACCCUUGUCAAUAUUUUACGCAUCUUUGUGUUCAGCUUAGUGCUGGGGCAUUCAAAUUUUAACAAUACGUUAUUUCAAUGGUUUUUCAUUUUUUUUUGGUAAUGUUGUAUUUUUUAUUUCUUAUUUUAAACAAAAUAAGAAAGAAAAGGAAUUUUCAAUUUGCUGGAAAAGGAACACGUUCCUUGCUUUUGUAAUUAAUUACGUUUUUCGUUACAUUUCUAAAAACGUAAUUAAUUACAGGUUAAAAUUACUUCAAAUGUAACAAGUACACAGUAACGCCUUACAAUUGUAACGAGUGUUUACAGCCCUGCCAUGCAGGGCACCCACCUCCAAAAUAGUAAUCAUGAUGACUAUAAUAGAACAAAUUGUGAACUCAAACUUGCUAUUAAGGGAUUCCGGCAAGCAAAAAAUAAAACUGAAUCGUUAACUCGAAAUUCAAAAUAGUCGCCGCUUCAGAGAGUUUGAGUAAACGUGGCUCUAUUUCCUGAAACUGAACAUGUCAAGUAAACUAAGAGACGGAUUGAACAUGCAUGUAAAGGUAAAGGCCCCGCUGAACAGAAACGGCGGGAGAGCUUUCAUUGUGUUAAAUUCACGACGUCCACGUCAUUCAUGCUGAUUAAAUUCAUUAAAUUCAUUUAUUGAGACCGAGGGAAACAGUGUGUUUUGUGGACCUGAACAGCACCGGCGGUCGACUGGGCCAUAAAAGAUGGCGUUGAGGGGCCACAAAAAACAGUGCCGGUGGUCGGGUAGCCUGGGUGUCAGGCUCUAUAAUGCUUGAAAUAGAGCCUGCUACUAAAGUUAAUAAAAAGUGGAUUUAUGCAGGCCUCGAAUUGGAAACUCUUGUUAGUUGAAUUUUAUUGGUUCUCUCCUGUCAUGCACUGAGGAAAUUUUUCAAAAAUUCAAAAAGUGCCCCCAAACCACUUCUAACUUUCUGAAACUCACUGAAAAUUGUCAAAAACCAUUUCUCUCAUCAAAACAGUUAGUUUCGACUGAUGAAAACAUGUUUUAAAAAAUAUUGGUAAAAUUUUGGUACCCUAGGCUUUAAGCAAAGGGGGAACCACAGGAAAUUUUUCAAAAAUUGGGUUAUUCCAGAAAACAUCCAUACCACCCCCACGGAGGAAAUAGGAAGUUAACCCCCCUACCCCCUUCGGAUGUCCUAAUACAUUUACUAUUAUCAGAAACAAUUUUUUCUCCCCUCCCCCUCCGGACGGCAGAAAUUUCCUCCGUGGGGGGAGUACGAAUCUUUUCUGGAACAACCCAUUCAAAAAGUUCCCCAAACCACUCCAAACUUUACAAACAUAAAAAUACUUUACAAAUUUUAAGACACAGUAAUAACGUUAGUAAAUGCAACAACAUAAUUAUUAUCAAAGAUUAUAUUGUUGGAAAUUUACUACUAUAAAUGCAAUCUGGUCUCAAGGCAUUCAUCUCUUUUCUUAAAACAUGUAAAGGGGGACCACAGGCAUCCCUAGGGUGACCAAAGGGGGGGGGGACCAAUUGUGUGGACAUGUUUGAAGGUUUUUCUCUGGAUACUCUGGUUUCCCUGUCACUUAAAACGAACCUUUUAGGCCUUUAAAUAGCUGCAUGAUGAGCAUGUGUGUCACAAGCCCAUGACUCGGCUGGAUCGAGAGACCAUCAUUGAUGUGGAAAUAUUUUAUAACUAACAAUAUACAAUCCAACUCUUUUUAGAGUCUUCGCAGACUGUCAGCUGUGUCAAGACCGAUCAGUUUGAAGGCAAACAGUAGAGAAAGGACUCAAAGAGAUGCCGAGCAGUCGGAAGUAAAAAUGACAGAGGACAAAUGCAGAACGUCAACAGCAUUAUAGACCUUAACUCGAUUGCUAACCAUCCGAAUUCAAGUCGCACUAGAACCAAUAAUCAGUGCACAACAGUGACAAAACCACGUACAGUGAUUACUAAUCUGCAUUGUAGACUUUGUAACUCAUUCAUUUGCAAACUCAUUCAUUUGCAAACUAUGAGCAUUGAUCAACUAAUUCUGUUUGUUCCAAAUUUGGAAGAUUGUUAAGUCACAACAGAUGCAGCACCAGAGACAAUUUUCAAUUCACAUCGCCACAGUCUUGACAGUGUUGGAAACCCCAAAGGAAGAUAACCUAUCGUCAUCAUCAUCGGAUUCUAUUGAAUGUGCCAAGUUGGGAUACAAGAACCUGUCAAACCACAUCAGACAGUACUAAGACACUAACCAUGGAAAUGAAGAAUGCUUUCUUGUUUGCAUAAAGUAGUUGCUCAGGAAAACACCAUCAUUACACAAGGUAUAUAUAAUAUAUUCUUCUGCAAUUUGUAAUGUGAUUUUGUAUACCGUAAACCUCCAAAUAUAAGCUCCCCCGUGUACUGUAUAAGCCCACCACAACACUCACCUCAUUCCAAAGAUAAGCCUCCCCGAAUAUAAGCCCAUUUGUUUAUCACUAUUACCACUAUUAAUCACUAUUAUUACUGUGCUUAACACUUGUUUAUCACUAUUACUAUACUUGUUUAUCACUAUUACAGUACACUAACACAAAAGAUCGUCCAUGUAUAAUAAGCCCCCGUAUAUGAGCCCCUCCCUUGUAUAAUCCCAUCAAAAAUCGCAUAUGAAAGAAUAUAAGCCCGAGGCUUAUAGUCUGAGGUUUACGGUAUGCCUUUGCAGGCUUCACCCACUUGGCUUAUGUAGUUGUAAAGACUGUUCACAUGGGCAAUAGAAUAAGAAAGUUAGGAAACUUGAUGCAGACAUAAUGGACUUCAUUAUCUACAUGUUUUUGUCUUGGUUUAUGCAAGAAAUGAUCUGUUCAUCGUCACAUGUGUAUUGUAUUUUUGCUAAAGCAACCAAAAGCUACUGCCAUUUGCGUUCAAGCUUGAAGCGUGCAAAAAUGUUCAGGUUUAUUUACGUUUCAAAGGAUAUCACGCCCGUUUGGCUGCAUGAUAAAAUUGAAUCGUUUGAAAAUAUAAAAAUAUUGAUUGUGGAAGCAAGAAUAUACUUUUAUUCUUGUAUUCUCGUGAUUCUAAAUACUAUACAAUCAAUUAUUUACAUUUUGUAGCUGAAUUAAUGUAGCUGAAUUAAUGUUUACAACAUGAGCAGCCGUGUUGUAUCGGAUAUACAAACUCGAGCCGAAGGCGAGAGUUUGUAAUAUCCGAUUUACACAGACGCGAAUGUUGUAAACAACUUAAGAAACGACUCAUCAUAUGAGUUCAUUGGCGAAGUAAUUUUAAAAAUAAACGUUGUCUAAGCCGAGAAAAUCAAAGUUAAAGUUUAUGUAAAUCAACAUGAAUCUGUAUCACAUAUACAGAUACGACACGCUUAUGAUUUUUCUUUGUGUUUUCUUCAUGAAUUAAUGAGUUUUUUAAUAGGGAUUUACAGCACAAAAAUGUACAAACGUCAUUGGAAUUCAAACGAAACAUGACAUAUUAUGUAACAAAUAAGAACCGUUGCAUGGUUCAAACGACCAGUUUCAUUGGUCAAAAGGGCGUGAUUACCCCCUGGAACAUUACGUUUAAAACAUAAAUAAACAUAAAAAAAUUUGCACGCUUCUGUGAGUGAAGCUUGAACGCAAAUGGCAGUAGUUAUGUUUUCAUUGUUUUCAACCAUUGUGUAAUAUCACAACUGCAUGGGUAAUUAAACCAAAAUGCUAUUAUUGGUUGGUUGGGCAAGAAAACAUGACCGGCUAAACAGAGAGUAAUAUGAGGUGGAGAGUAAUUACUGUAUCUCGGAGAGUUAUGUUCAAACCACACCCACUUUUCCCAACGACCACACCCAAUUUCUUAACUCUCCCGACGUUUCCUUGAACUAACAUGAGAGAGUUAUGUUUUACACAACUCUCUCUCUCUCGUUAACAUUAUGAAAAUGUUAGAGAGUUGUCAUUUUUAUAACUCUCCGCGUUCAUGAUUGCAUCAUGUGGCAAUGAAGAGAGUUAAGUUAGUUUUUUGAGAAAACCUUCCACAUAUUAGUACAUUUUACUAAAUUUACAAGUGUCAACAUUUUACGCUAGUAGAAACUAAUAGUACUUUUGUACUUACCAAGUUCAUCUACAGUAUAUGUAUGUAAAUGUUUAUAUAUAAAUGUACAUGCUCACUUGGAUUAUCUAGCAAGACCAGCAUUCAGAUACAUAUUAGAUAGAACAAGAAGAUCUUUCCAAUGUAAUGCCCUAUUGGCUGAUUUGGGAAAGUAUUUCCAAAGCCUGAAUUGCUGAAAGAUUCAAUUUUCUUAAUUUUCUUGCAACUAUGCUUGCCGUAUUUACUGCCAAAUACACGUCAAAACAUUCUUCUGGGGGUACUAAUUGACUGAGUCAAGUUGCAUUUCCUGUUUGGACGCAUUCUAUUGACAUGCUACAAACUGAAAUACCAAAAAAUAAGAUGAAAAUCUGAAGAAACAAGCUUUACGAACUAAGGUUUUCUUAAAAAAACUGACUUAAUUAACUCUAUUCAUUGCCAUAAUCGUUAUAAAAAAUGAUAACUCUCUAACAUCUUCAUAAGUUAACGAGAGAGAGUUGCAUCAAACAUAACUCAAAUAUGUUAGUUCAGGAAACGUCGAGAGAGUUAAAAAAUUGGGUGUGGUUGUUGAGAAAAGUGGGCGUGGUUUGAAUAUAACUCUCCGAAAUCAUAACUCUCCGGUUGGUAACUCCCCGGUUGGUAACUCUCGCUUAAGUCAUACCCCAAGAAAACAAUAGAGAGUUUAAGUUCGACUUCCAGUACCGAUACCGAUGUCUUCACUUCCGUUCUCAUAAAGCGUUAAGCUAUGACACGACUGAUAAAGUAUAGAACACAUUAAUCGUCACCAAAAAAAUGACUCAGACGAUGCCAAUAAACAAAUAGUUUACGUGUUUAUUGUAAAAAUUAUGAAAUAUCCGAUUUAUUUGAGUUUAUCUUACAAUUCCCACGACUUCCAAUACAUUAGGCCGAAUUCGAUAGUGGUGACUUCCAAUACACUUGUCCUUGUGCUUCUUGUGAGCAGAGCGCAUGCGCAUGACAUGUUGGUAUUGGUAUUGGUAUUGGUAUUGGAAGUCGAACUUAAACUCUCUAAUACACAUGUGACGAUGAGCCAACCAUUUUUUGCAAAAACCAAGACAAAAAUAUAGAUCAUGUAUGAGGUCUAUAAAUAUGUCUGUAUCGAAACAUAACCUUGACUAUGAUCACAUGGGGGCCAAUGAUAGGCCUUUCAACCAUUAGGGGCGGACCAUUAGAAAAGUGAUGAUGGGGGNNNNNNNNNNNNNNNNNNNNCAUAACUCUCAUAUGUUAGUUCGAGGAAACGUCGGGAGAGUUAAAAAAUUGGGUGUGGUUGUUGAGAAAAGUGGGUGUAGUUUGAACAUAACUCUCCGGUUGGUUACUCUCCCCCUUAAGGCAUUACCCCAAGAAAACAAUAGAGUUUAAGUUCGACUUACAAUACUGAUACCGAUGUCUUCACUUCCAUUCUCAUUUUCGUUCUGGGAAUUUUAAAGCCUUAAGCUAUCAUGACUGAUAACAUAUAGAACACAUUAAUUGUCACCGAAAAUGUGUGGUAGCAGAGCUAAAAUUCCGACUAAAACAUGACUCAGGCGAUACCAAUAAACAAAUAGUUUACGGGAUUUAUUUGAGUUUAUCUUACAAUUCCCACGACUUCCAAUACAAGGCCGACUUCGGUAGUGAUGACUUCCAAUACACUCGUCCUUGUGCUUCUUGUGAGCAGAGCGCAUGCGCAUGACAUGUUGUUGGUAUCGGUAUUGGAAGUCGAACUUAAACUCUCUAAUAAUACACAUGUGACAAUGAGCCAACCAUUUUUUGCAAAAACCAAGACAAAAACAUAGAUCAUGUAUGAGGUCUUUUAUGUCUGUAUCGAAACAUAACCUUGACUAUGGUCACAUGGGCGCCAAUGAUGAGCCUUUCAACCAUUAGGGGCAGACCAUUAGAAAAGUGAUAUGGGGGGGGGGGGGCAAAAGCAAAAAUAGAAAUCGAGCAGGGGAAACAAAAAAAAUUCUAGCACAAAAAAAGUUUAAAAAAAAAUUUGUGCAUAGACUUUUCAAUAGGGAAAAUUAUAAGUUGUGUAAGGGUGGCCCCCAAUUGUAAACCUAAAUAUUGAAGAUAUUGGUGCAAAAAAAGGUUUUACGCAUGUAUUAACAAGAAUAUGUGAGGGAAAAUUUUUUUGAAUUGAAAAAAUUUGAGCAAGGGAUGAUUUAAAAAAAAUUAUCAACACAAGCAAAAAAUUUUGAGAAAAAAUAAUCGCAGAGGUUGGAAAUGCCCCCCCACCCCCAUCACUUUUCUAAUGGUCUGUCCCUUAGUUGACUAUGUCACCAUCAAGGGGGGGGUACCUAAUUGGAUGUCAGUUGAUAUACAUACAGUAAGCUACUUCUUAGAAUAUUUAGGGGUGCACCGGAACUCGGUUCCGGCUGGAACAUCGAUUUUUUAGAGUUCUGGUUCCGGCUUGAACUAGUAAAAAAAGCAUGGCCGGAACCAGAUCGAACUCUGUCGUUUUCAGAGAGAUAAAAUAUCAAACGUUUUUGUGUCUAACAAAAGGUCACAGUAGGAAGAAAUUUGGACUAUGCAAGGGAAAUGUACACUAACACUUCAUUAUGACGUUUAACGCUUGUCAAUCUUUUUAUUCUAACAUUUGCGAGCUCUCUCCUUGAUGACUUGAAGUGUAUAUGCAGCGGACAAAGUAACAUAUGACUAUAUAUGGCUUAAUAAGUUAGUUCCGGUUCCGGCCAGAACUUUUUUCCAGUUCCGGUCGGAUCCGUUUCCAGCCCGGAACUUAAAAAACUGGUUCUGGUACACCCCUAAGAAAAUUUAUAUUAAUUUGCAGGCAAAUACAAGACUAUCGGUACUGCAUAUAAUGAAAAUAAGUAUUUUAUCACUAUGAUAAUUCUCGGUUGAAGCCAUGUAAUUAAAUACUUCUUAUUACCUCCAAUUUAGAUUCUCGCUGGUCAUGACAGUUGUAUCCGAAAGAAAGUGGGGCCAUGGAUGCUGGUCGAGUUCUAAACAGGGACCAUCAUGAGGACGUCCAAUUAUGCACAAAACUAAUUUCGUAUGUGGCAUCUUUAAUAUAAUUUCACUUUAUUUUUGAGAAGAAAUUUCACCAAAAUUUUAACAGUGAAGCUUAGUGGUGGCUGUGGAUACUUUUGGUAUAUUAUGUACUUUAAUGGAUUAUAAUGAACAUUUGUGGAUUACUAAGGAUAUUUAUUACCAUGAACAUGUCCGGACAUAUGUACCUCUAUAUCAACGGUUACCCACAGACAUCGAUGUACCUCGAUAAUGGAGCUGCACUAUGGUUAAAGUGAGGUCUACCUUAAGGUACAGAUUUUCAUUGUUAGCCUGCUAUUGGGCAGUAGUUAGCCUGCUAUUAGGCAAUAGUUAGCCUGCUAUCAGGCAAUAGUUACCCUGCUCUCAGGCCGUAGUUAGCCUGUUAUCAGGUAAUGGUUAGCCUGCUAUCAGGCAGUACCUGUAUUUCGGUAUUGAAUUUGUACCCAUGACUCUAGUUUGCAUGUGUGCGGUGAAGUCUCUGGGUAGGCU
rnacentral:lncRNA from 1 species